UACAGAGGGUGCGAGCGUUAAUCGGAAUUACUGGGCGUAAAGCGUGCGCAGGCGGUUCUGCAAGUCAGAUGUGAAAGCCCCGGGCUCAACCUGGGAAUUGCAUUUGAAACUACAGGGCUAGAGUGUGUCAGAGGGGGGUAGAAUUCCACGUGUAGCAGUGAAAUGCGUAGAGAUGUGGAGGAAUACCGAUGGCGAAGGCAGCCCCCUGGGAUAACACUGACGCUCAUGCACGAAAGCGUGGGGAGCAAACAGG
rnacentral:rRNA from 1 species